AUUGAACGCUGGCGGCAGGCUUAACACAUGCAAGUCGAGCGAGCGGCGGACGGGUGAGUAAUGUCUGGGAAACUGCCUGAUGGAGGGGGAUAACUACUGGAAACGGUAGCUAAUACCGCAUACCAUCAGAUGUGCCCAGAUGGGAUUAGCUAGUAGGUGGGGUAAAGGCUCACCUAGGCGACGAUACCUAGCUGGUCUGAGAGGAUGACCAGCAACACUGGAACUGAGACACGGUCCAGACUCCUACGGGGGGCAGAGGUGGGGAAUAUUGCACAAUGGGCGCAACCCUGUCGCAGCCAUGCCGCGGGAAUGAAGAGGGCCUUGGGGUUGAAAAGUUCUUUCGGUAGCGAGGCGUUAACUACAGAAGAAGCACCGGCUAACUCCGUGCCAGCGGCCGCGGUAAUU
rnacentral:rRNA from 1 species